rnacentral:rRNA from 1 species
UACAGAGGUCCCAAGCGUUGUUCGGAUUCACUGGGCGUAAAGGGUGCGUAGGCGGUCGGGUAAGUCUGAUGUGAAAUCUCACAGCUUAACUGUGAAACUGCAUUGGAUACUAUCCGACUCGAGGAAUGGAGGGGAGACUGGAAUUCUCGGUGUAGCAGUGAAAUGCGUAGAUAUCGAGAGGAACACCAGUGGCGAAGGCGAGUCUCUGGACAUUUCCUGACGCUGGAGGCACGAAAGCCAGGGGAGCAAACGGG